rnacentral:rRNA from 1 species
AUGGCUCGCGUCUUGCGCACCUCCCACGUUGCGGCCUUGCCAGCCGGCGCCGCGCUCCAUGAGCGUUCUCUCCCGCUCACCUACCUAGAUGCGGUGUGCCUCCACCGCCCGCUCGUCGAGGGCGUCUUCUUCUACCCCGACGCCACCAGCGACGUCCUCUCCAACCUCACGGACUCCUUGUCCAAUGCACUAGCCGCAUUUUACCCUCUGUCCGGCCGCCUCCGCCUCACCCCCGGCACGCACAACCGCUACGAACUCCACUACCAGCCGGGCGACAGCGUCACCUUUACCGUCGCCGAGUACGACAAUCACCAUGUCGGCUUCGAGGAGCAUGCCACGGACGACCUAACGGAGGUUGCCAAGAUCGUGCCGCUUGUGCUGCCGAUUCCCGAAGGUGGCGCGGUGCUUGCCGUGAAGGCCACCGUGCUGCGCGGCGGCCUCGCUACCGGCGUGACCGUUCACCACGCCGCCUGCGACGGGGUGUCGUCGACGCACUUCCAACGCACCUGGGUCUGGUCGGCGGCAGCCUGCAGCGGUGCGGGCGCGCCUGAGCCGCCCUUUGUCGACCGCUCCAUCAUCUGCCCACGAGACACCUGUACGACGCUUUCAUGGCGCCCAGGCUGUCCAGUAAUGACGAUGACGGUGGGAAACCCCCCGAUUCGCCCAUUGUCCAGCAGCUCCUCGCCACGUUCACGCUGUCCAUGGAGUACCUGCAGAGCAUCAAAGAAGCGGUCGCCAGCAAGGAGGAACGCCUUGGCGUGCUGCCGCCUUGCGCCACAUCAAUCAUCGCGGCGUUCGGCUUCAUCUGGCAAUUGCUACAUCCGAGCUAAACCAGGCACUGAUGGCAAGGUAGCGUCGUCUUGCGGUGGCCGUGCCUACUUUGUCUUACCGGCAGACCACCGGACGAGGCUGGAGCCGCCCGUCCCCGAUGAGUACCUCGGCAACUGCCUCGGUCCGUGCAUCGCGUCAGCGCCCAGGAUGGAUGUCGCUGCCGCCGGCGUGGACGGGUCCCCGAGGUUCCGCGUGUACGACACAGACUUUGGGUUCGGGCGGCCGGCAAAGGUGGAUGUCGUAUCGGUGGCGAGGACCAGCGCGAUGGCCGUGGCAAAGGCGCGUAGCGGCAGCGACGGGGUGGAGGUGGGCAUCUCUUUGUCGGCGGGUGCCAUGGAGCAUUUCAACGACUGCUUUGCCGAUGCCAUCGCGUGCCUUUUAUCGUAG